GUUUCCGUAGCAAAACCCGGCAUUGCAAGAGAUCUAAGCCCUCUUCAUAGAGGUUCAACUCCUCUCGUUAACU
rnacentral:tRNA from 1 species